rnacentral:rRNA from 1 species
GACGAACGCUGGCGGCGUGCUUAACACAUGCAAGUCGAACGGUAAGGCCCUUCGGGGUACACGAGUGGCGAACGGGUGAGUAACACGUGGGUGAUCUGCCCUGCACUUCGGGAUAAGCCUGGGAAACUGGGUCUAAUACCGGAUAGGACUCCGGACUGCAUGGUCGGGGGUGGAAAGCUUUCGCGGUGUGGGCUGGGCCCGCGGCCCAUCAGCUUGUUGGGGGGGUGAUGGCCUACCAAGGCGACGACGGGUAGCCGGCCUGAGAGGGUGACCGGCCACACUGGGACUGAGAUACGGCCCAGACUCCUACGGGAGGCAGCAGUGGGGAAUAUUGCACAAUGGGCGCAAGCCUGAUGCAGCGACGCCGCGUGAGGGAUGACGGCCUUCGGGUUGUAAACCUCUUUCAGCAUCGACGAAGCGAAAGUGACGGUAGGUGCAGAAGAAGGACCGGCCAACUACGUGCCAGCCGCCGCAGUAA